rnacentral:rRNA from 1 species
GACGAACGCUGGCGGCGUGCUUAACACAUGCAAGUCGUACGGUAAGGCCCUUUCGGGGGUACACGAGUGGCGAACGGGCGAGUAACACGUGAGUAACCUGCCCACAACUUUGGGAUAACGCUAGGAAACUGGUGCUAAUACUGGAUAUGUGCUCCUGCUGCAUGGUGGGGGUUGGAAAGCUCCGGGGGUUGUGGAUGGACUCGCGGCCUAUCAGCUUGCUGGUGGGGUAGUGGCCUACCAAGGCGGCGACGGGUAGCCGGCCUGAGAGGGUGACCGGCCACAUUGGGACUGAGAUACGGCCCAGACUCCUACGGGAGGCAGCAGUGGGGAAUAUUGCACAAUGGGCGCAAGCCUGAUGCAGCAACGCCGCGUGCGGGAUGACGGCCUUCGGGUUGUAAACCGCUUUCAGCAGGGACGAAGCUUUUUGUGACGGUACCUGCAGAAGAAGCACCGGCUAACUACGUG